UGGGGAAUAUUGGACAAUGGGCGCAAGCCUGAUCCAGCAAUGCCGCGUGGGUGAAGAAGGCCUUCGGGUUGUAAAGCUCUUUUAGUCGGAAAGAAAAGAUCGUAAAUAAUACUUGCGAUUAAUGACGGUACCGACAGAAAAAGCACCGGCUAACUACGUGCCAGCAGCCGCGGUAAUACGUAGGGUGCGAGCGUUAAUCGGAAUUACUGGGCGUAAAGGGUGCGCAGGCGGUUUUGUAAGUCAGAUGUGAAAUCCCCGGGCUUAACCUGGGAAUUGCGUUUGAAACUAUAAGACUAGAGUGCAAGAGAGGGGAGUGGAAUUCCAUGUGUAGCAGUGAAAUGCGUAGAGAUGUGGAAGAACACCGAUGGCGAAGGCAGCUCCCUGGAUUGACACUGACGCUCAUGCACGAAAGCGUGGGGAGCAAACA
rnacentral:rRNA from 1 species